rnacentral:rRNA from 1 species
GAACGAACGCUGGCGGCAGGCUUAACACAUGCAAGUCGAACGGUUGUAGCAAUACAGCAGUGGCAGACGGGUGAGUAACACGUGGGAACCUUCCUAGGGGUACGGAACAACUCAGGGAAACUUGAGCUAAUACCGUAUACGUCCGUGAGGAGAAAGAUUUAUCGCCCUUAGACGGGCCCGCGUCGGAUUAGCUAGUUGGUGGGGUAACGGCCUACCAAGGCGACGAUCCGUAGCUGAUCUUAGAGGAUGAUCAGCCACACUGGGACUGAGACACGGCCCAGACUCCUACGGGAGGCAGCAGUGGGGAAUCUUGGACGAUGGGCGCAAGCCUGAUCCAGCCAUGCCGCGUGAGUGAAGAAGGUCUUCGGAUUGUAAAGCUCUUUUGCCAGGGACGAUAAUGACGGUACCUGGAGAAUAAGCCCCGGCAAACUUCGUG